rnacentral:rRNA from 1 species
GACGAACGCUGGCGGCGUGCUUAACACAUGCAAGUCGAACGGAGUGGCGAACGGGUGAGUAACACGUGGGUGACCUGCCCUGCACUUCCGGAUAAGCCUGGGAAACUGGGUCUAAUACCGGAUAGUGUGUGAUGGGCCCGCGGCCUAUCAGCUUGUUGGUGGGGGAAUGGCCUACCAAGGCGGCGACUGGUAGCCGACCUUAGAGGGGGGACGGCCACAUGGGGACUGAGGCACGGCGCAGACUCGUACGGGGGGCAGCAGUGGGGAAUAUUGCGCAAUGGGGGGAAGCGUGAUGCAGAGACGCCGGGUGGGGGAUGAACGCCUUCGGGUUGGAAACUCCUUUCACCAUCGACGCGGUAGAUGGAGAAGAAGCACCGGCUAACUACGUGCCAGCAGCCGCGGUAAUAC